rnacentral:rRNA from 1 species
AUGACGACCGUGCUUGCACGGUCUGAUUAGUGGCGAACGGGUGAGUAACACGUGAGUAACCUGCCCCUCACUUCGGGAUAACCUCGGGAAAUCGUGGCUAAUACCGGAUAUGAGCUUCCAUCGCAUGAUGGUGGCUGGAAAGAUUUAUCGGUGGGGGAUGGACUCGCGGCCUAUCAGUUUGUUGGUGAGGUGAUGGCUCACCAAGACGAUGACGGGUAGCCGGCCUGAGAGGGCGACCGGCCACACUGGGACUGAGACACGGCCCAGACUCCUACGGGAGGCAGCAGUGGGGAAUAUUGCACAAUGGGCGAAAGCCUGAUGCAGCGACGCCGCGUGGGGGAUGACGGCCUUCGGGUUGUAAACCCCUUUCAGUAGGGAAGAAGCGAGAGUGACGGUACCUGCAGAAGAAGCGCCGGCUAACUACGUGCCAGCAGCCGCGGUAAUACGUAGGGCGCAAGCGUUGUCCGGAAUUAUUGGGCGUAAAGAGCUCGUAGGUGGCUUGUCGCGUCUGCCGUGAAAACCCGAGGCUCAACCUCGGGCGUGCGGUGGGUACGGGCAGGCUAGAGUGUGGUAGGGGAGACUGGAACUCCUGGUGUAGCGGUGAAAUGCGCAGAUAUCAGGAAGAACACCGAUGGCGAAGGCAGGUCUCUGGGCCAUUACUGACACUGAGGAGCGAAAGCAUGGGUAGCGAACAGG